rnacentral:rRNA from 1 species
GACGAACGCUGGCGGCGUGCUUAACACAUGCAAGUCGAGCGGUAAGGCCCUUUCGGGGGUACGACGAGCGGCGAACGGGUGAGUAACACGUGGGUGAUCUGCCCUCAGCUCUGGGAUAAGCCUGGGAAACCGGGUCUAAUACUGGAUAUGACUCCAUGACGCAUGUUGUGGGGUGGAAAGCCUUGUGCGGCUGAGGAUGGGCCCGCGGCCUAUCAGCUUGUUGGUGGGGUGAUGGCCUACCAAGGCGACGACGGUAGCCGGCCUGAGAGGGCGACCGGCCACACUGGGACUGAGACACGGCCCAGACUCCUACGGGAGGCAGCAGUGGGGAAUCUUGCGCAAUGGGCGAAAGCCUGACGCAGCGACGCCGCGUGAGGGAUGACGGCCU